CCGGGACGCCGCCCGCCGCAAGGAGUUUGCUGUGUCCCAGCGCCGCGAGCCCGGGUGACUCGCCCUCGCUCUACCCUGAAACCUUCCGCCUGAGCCCGCGCAGGAGGAGCGGGGCCUCUGACGGGAGCGGCGACCCCGCCGGCCCCGGUCUCUUUCCCUGGCGGCGGCGGCUUCUUCUAUAGGACAAUAUGUUCAAGAGAAUGGCCGAAUUUGGGCCUGACUCCGGCGGGAGAGUGAAGGGGGUUACUAUUGUUAAACCAAUAGUUUAUGGUAAUGUUGCUCGAUAUUUCGGAAAGAAAAGAGAAGAGGAUGGGCACACCCAUCAGUGGACAGUGUAUGUCAAACCAUAUAGAAAUGAGGAUAUGUCAGCAUAUGUGAAGAAAAUCCAAUUUAAAUUACAUGAAAGCUAUGGCAAUCCUUUAAGAGUUGUUACUAAGCCUCCAUAUGAAAUUACUGAAACAGGAUGGGGUGAAUUCGAAAUAAUCAUCAAAAUAUUUUUCAUUGAUCCUAAUGAAAGACCUGUGACCCUCUAUCAUUUAUUAAAGCUGUUUCAGUCAGACACUAAUGCAAUGCUGGGAAAAAAGACAGUCGUUUCAGAGUUCUAUGAUGAAAUGAUAUUUCAAGACCCAACAGCAAUGAUGCAACAGUUAUUAACAACAUCUCGCCAGCUAACAUUAGGAGCCUAUAAGCAUGAAACAGAAUUUGCAGAACUUGAAGUGAAAACCAGAGAAAAAUUAGAAGCUGCGAAAAAAAAAACAAGCUUUGAAAUUGCAGAGCUUAAGGAGAGAUUAAAGGAUAAAAUGAAUGUUUCACCUAAGUAUUGACAGAGAAGACAGCACUGAUGAUCCCAAAGGAUAGACCGGGAACCAUAGGCCAUCUGGAAGAUGGAGAUAGCUGAAAGACAGUGGAUCUUGGAGUCAGAGAAACAAUGACAGCCCAAGGAGCAGUUUGCUGUGGGAAGGCUAAAGACCCCAGAUCUCCAUCUCCCCCUCCAUCCAACCCAAAUAAAUAUACUAAGUAAAGCAAUGAGCUAGCUAUGCAAACACAGCUUUAAGAAAGGUCCUCUACCCACAUUUCCAUCUAAUCCUUUUGGAGACUCUGUUACAGACAAGCCGAACUGAAUCCUGCUCUACCGUUUAUUAGCUUUAACAUGAAUUAUUUCACAUCUGUAAACUUCAUUUAUCUAUUCUAUAAAACUGACGCAAUGUUACCCAUCUCAAGAUUAUCAUCGCUCUAACUGCAGCUAAUGCACACAAACUGCAUAUUUGAUAUUUUCUAUUCAUUUACAAAACUCAAAUAUCUAAAUAACAAUUCCACAUUCCAAUAAAAAGUGCAUUUUGAUUAUCCCACAAAUUGGAUAAAUGGUUUAGUCUUAUGUGAUACAAGAAUAAAUGUUUAAACUGCACAAACUCCAUCCACUUUAGUCCAGAACUUUCUGUUUACUUCCAAAUAAGAUGGGAAAUUCUUGGCAUGUGAUGUCUAGAAGUAGGGGAAUGCGCUGACUUUUCAAGCAGAGAAUCCCUGGACUUCAAGGGUAAGAGCUGGUCUGGCCCACUGAUAAGUGCCCAGACAUUGAAACCAGACUAAUUUGGGAUUAACUGGGGUGAUGUAGUUGAUUGCUCAUCAGUGGCAUUGAAAAUGAGUUUGCACUGCCUUGCACUUACAUGGCUUUCUUUCUCAGGAGAAAUGUUGCCAUAAACUGUUUUGUGAGAUGCCAACAACUUGGCAAGGAAGAAAGUCUUCCACAAAAUAUUGUAGUCAUUGGGAGGGCAAAACUCUAGGAAGUCCACCCACAUUCUUGCGGGAUGCAGACAGACGUCUGCAAAGAACAUAAGCAGAGCAGUUUAAAAGCAAUAGUAUCGUGCAAGGUGUGAGCCCACAUGCAGAAGGAACAGUCCUUUGCCCUCAAAGCCAGGGACCCUGAAAUUUGUUUCCCCUGUUGGCCUUUGGACCCCUCUAUUUUAGUAUUUCUAACUUAAGUUGUUAAAUGGGCAAAAGUCAGUGUACUCAGUGGUUCCGAACCAAUAUUUAGUUUCAUGAAAGUAUCUGGAGCUGGUAAUGGACCCAGUGACAGGGACCAUUUCAAAGUAAGUAUGGAUCCAAAAAUGGGAGGGAAACACCCUUCAUGCUUGAUAAGAGGUGGUACAUCUAUAAAUGCCAAGACCAGCUGUGUGUGGGGACAAGUGAGGGAAAGCCUGUGUGCAGGGAGAUGGUCACAUGUGAA